GACGAACGCUGGCGGCGUGCUUAACACAUGCAAGUCGAACGGAAAGGCCCUGCUUUUGUGGGGUGCUCGAGUGACGAACGGGUGAGUAACACGUGAGUAACCUGCCCUUGACUUUGGGAUAACUUCAGGAAACUGGGGCUAAUACCGGAUAGGAGCUCCUGCUGCAUGGUGGGGGUUGGAAAGUUUCGGCGGUUGGGGAUGGACUCGCGGCUUAUCAGCUUGUUGGUGGGGUAGUGGCUUACCAAGGCUUUGACGGGUAGCCGGCCUGAGAGGGUGACCGGCCGCAUUGGGACUGAGAUACGGCCCAGACUCCUACGGGAGGCAGCAGUGGGGAAUAUUGCACAAUGGGCGGAAGCCUGAUGCAGCAACGCCGCGUGCGGGAUGACGGCCUUCGGGUUGUAAACCGCUUUCGCCUGUGACGAAGCGUGAGUGACGGUAAUGGGUAAAGAAGCACCGGCUAACUACGUG
rnacentral:rRNA from 1 species